rnacentral:tRNA from 1 species
UGCCCCUUCGUCUAGCGGCAGGACGCCUGAUUUUGAGUCAGGAAACCGUGGUUCGAAUCCACGAGGGGCAA